rnacentral:lncRNA from 1 species
AUGCUCCCUGUCAGGAGACGGUCACCCUGUGGAUACCUGCUGGUGUGUGGGGCUGCUUACAGGAUGGUGCUGGCACGAGCUGCUAAUCUUCCAGAAGCUGGCAUCCUGGAAGACACGACUCCGAGAAUCUCAGGUGUGUGGUUUAUUUGCAGCCCUGAGCACCUGCACUUGUCAAAGCCCUUUGCCAGUUGUCAUUAUCCAUCUCACCUGAGCUUCAGGAAAAACCAGGAUGUCAGAGGGAUGGCUGGCUUCAAGCACAGCUCGUGCUGUCCGCUGUCCUCAUGUCUCUCCCCUGUCCAUCGUGUAGCUCUGUUCACUUCUGCUGGGCUUCAUUCUUAAACGGGUUUCUCCAAGGGGCAGUAGACAGCUGCUGGCUGCCAAAGGUCCCUUGGAGACAAGAAGCAGCUUCACUUUAGUUCUGGCCGAAUCCUGAAGGUGGCUCUGCUUGGCCUGAUUUGGGUCACACGCCUGCUGUGGAAGGAAAUGGCCUGGGGUGGGUGGGGGGGUGAGGGUGUGGGUGGGGGCAGGUCAAGAGUGGGCUGCACCUGGACAAAAUGGAUGGGGCAGGAUUAUUCUAGAUUUGGGGAGGGGGCUUUCCCCAAAGGAGAGAAUUCUGGACGGACAACCAUGCUCAUUAUUUCGAAAGGGAUCAUCUUUUUAAAAUAAGGAAUUCAGAAAGGGAAGGAUUCUGAGGAGUAUCCAGAUUCUCAAAUUUUGGGUAUCUGUGCGGC